rnacentral:rRNA from 1 species
AGAUACCCUAUUAGUUACAUUUAAAAUUUAGUAGUAAGUGUUGAACAUGAAACUAAAAUUAAUUGGCGGCUUUUUAAAUAUUUUAGAGGAAUUUAUUCUAUAAAGGAUUUAACACCAAAAUCUUACUUUUAUUUGUAUUAAAACAGUUUACAUACCUCUAUUUUAAAAUAUUUAAAUAUAUUUUAUUAAUACUAUUAUUUUAGUAAUUUUUUAGGUAAAGGUGUAGCUUAUAUAAAAGAAUGAAAUAAAUUAUAAUAAUUUUUAUUAUUUUAACGAGAUUUAAAUGUAACAUAAUAAUUUAGUAAAACUUUAAAAGUAAAAUUAGUAUAUUUAGCUAAUUUGAAUUAGAUUUUAUAAGUGUACAUAUUGCCCGUCACUCUCUUUUUAGAGAUAAG